rnacentral:rRNA from 1 species
CCUACGGGAGGCAGCAGUGGGGAAUCUUGCGCAAUGGCCUAACGGCCGACGCAGCGACGCCGCGUGUGGGAUGAAGCUCUUCGGAGUGUAAACCACUGUUGCCCGGGACGAACAGCUCGAUUAAUCGAGCCUGACGGUACCGGGUGAGGAAGCACCGGCUAACUCCGUGCCAGCAGCCGCGGUAAUACGGGGGGUGCGAGCGUUGUCCGGAAUCACUGGGCGUAAAGGGCGCGUAGGUGGUUUGAUAAGGGUGUGGUGAAAGUCCGGGGCUCAACCCCGGAUCUGCCGUGCCGACUGUCAAACUCGAGGACUGUAGAGGCAGACGGAAUUCCGGGUGUAGCGGUGGAAUGCGUAGAGAUCCGGAGGAAGACCGGUGGCGAAGGCGGUCUGCUGGGCAGUUUCUGACACUGAGGCGCGACAGCGUGGGGAGCAAACAGGAUUAGAUACCCUGGUAG